UGGGGAAUAUUGGACAAUGGGCGAAAGCCUGAUCCAGCAAUACCGCGUGUGUGAAGAAGGCCUGAGGGUUGUAAAGCACUUUCAAUUGUGAAGAAAAGCCUUAAAUUAAUACUUUAGGGUCUUGACGUUAACUUUAGAAGAAGCACCGGCUAACUCCGUGCCAGCAGCCGCGGUAAUACGGAGGGUGCAAGCGUUAAUCGGAAUUACUGGGCGUAAAGCGCACGUAGGCGGUUAGGUAAGUCAGAUGUGAAAGCCCCGGGCUCAACCUGGGAACUGCAUUUGAUACUGCUUAACUAGAGUAUAGUAGAGGCAAGUGGAAUUCCAGGUGUAGCGGUGAAAUGCGUAGAUAUCUGGAGGAACAUCAGUGGCGAAGGCGACUUGCUGGACUAAUACUGACGCUGAGGUGCGAAAGCGUGGGGAGCAAACA
rnacentral:rRNA from 1 species